rnacentral:rRNA from 1 species
GCGGCCUAUCAGCUUGUUGGUGAGGUAAUGGCUUACCAAGGCGUCGACGGGUAGCCGGCCUGAGAGGGCGACCGGCCACACUGGGACUGAGACACGGCCCAGACUCCUACGGGAGGCAGCAGUGGGGAAUAUUGCACAAUGGGCGAAAGCCUGAUGCAGCGACGCCGCGUGAGGGAUGACGGCCUUCGGGUUGUAAACCUCUUUCAGCAGGGAAGAAGCGAAAGUGACGGUACCUGCAGAAGAAGCGCCGGCUAACUACGUGCCAGCAGCCGCGGUAAUACGUAGGGCGCAAGCGUUGUCCGGAAUUAUUGGGCGUAAAGAGCUCGUAGGCGGCUUGUCACGUCGGGUGUGAAAUCCCGGGGCUUAACCCCCGGUCUGCAUCCGAUACGGGCAGGCUAGAGUGUGGUAGGGGAGAUCGGAAUUCCUGGUGUAGCGGUGAAAUGCGCAGAUAUCAGGAGGAACACCGGUGGCGAAGGCGGAUCUCUGGGCCAUUACUGACGCUGAGGAGCGAAAGGGUGGGGAGCGAACAGGAUUAGAUACCCUGGUAGUCCACGCCGUAAACGUUGGGAACUAGGUG